GGGUAGGUUACUUUCUUAACAUAAUCCGUUAAUUACUAAACUCAGGGUCCUGAAGAGACGUUUCUAUUUUUGCUGUCUGUAAAAGAUAAUUGGUAAAAAUCCAAAUAACUUCAUAGAUCUUCAUUGUAAAGGGUUUAAACACGGUUUCCCAUGCUUGUUCAAUGAACCAUAAACAAGUAAUGAACAUGCACCUGUGGAACGGUUGUUAAGACACUAACGGCUUACAGACGGAAGGUCAUUAAGGUCACAGUUAUGAAAAUUUAGGACACUGAAGAGGCCUUUCUACUGACUCUGGGGGGAAAAAACACAAAGAAAGAUGCCCAGGGUCCCUACUCAUCUGCGUGAACGUGCAUUAGGCAUGCUGCAAGGAGGCAUGAGGACUGCAGAUGUGGCUAGGGCAAUAAAUUGCAUUGUCGGUACUGUGAGACGCCUAAGACAGGCUACAGGGAGACAGGACGGACAGCUGAUCGUCCUUGCAGUGGCAGACCACGUGUAACAACACCUGCACAGGAUCGGUAUAUCUGAACAUCACACCUGUAGGACGGGUACAGGAUGACAACAACUGCCCGAGUUACACCAGGAACGCACAAUCAUUCCCAUCAGUGCUCAGACUGUGCACAAUAGGCUGAGAGAGGCUUGACAGGGCUUGUAGGCCUGUUGUAAGGCAGGUCCUCACCAGACAUCACCGGCAACAAUGUCGCCUAUGGGCACAAACCCACCGUCGCUGGACCAGACAGGACUGGCAAAAAUUGCUGUUCACUGACGAGUUGCGGUUUUGUCUCACCAGGAGUAAUGGUUGGAUUUGCGUUUAUCGUUGAAGGAAUGAGUGUUAAACUGAAGCCUGUACUCUGGAGCGGGAUCGAUUUGGAGGUGGAGGGUCCGCUGUGCGUUACAGGGAAAACAUCCUCAUCCCUCAUGUGGUACCCUUCCUGCAGGCUCAUUCUGACAUGGUCCUCCAGCAUGACAAUGCCAGAUACUGUUACUUUUGAUUUUGACCACCCCUUUGUUCAGGGACACAUUAUUCCAUUUCUGUUAGUCACGUCUGUGGAACUUUGUUCAGUUUGUCUGUUGUUGAAUCUUAUGUUCAUACAAAUAUUUACACAUGUUAAUUAAGUUUGCUGAAAAUAAAUGCAGUUGACAGUGA
ensembl:lncRNA